ensembl:lncRNA
CUUCCUACCUCAGGAUUUUCUCUCUGCCUAUAUGUUCCUCUAGUACUUGCAUUGUUUAAUACAAUAAUAAUUGUUAAUUUUUUGAUUCUUAUGGGAUUUAUUUUGAUAUAUGGUACAAAAUAGGAACCUUAAGUUUUCUCCCUGCCUAUUCUCCCUACCCUCCUUGUUGGUUCCAAUCUUCUUGACUCUGGUACCCACUGUAGCCAGUUCCCAAACAAGCAGAGCCAGAAGGGAAGAUCUGGUGGCAGAGAUCCUGCCUCAAAGAAGCUCAGAAACUUGAAGUGAGGGAUUGAGAAACUUCCUGAAGAAGCAGUAUGAUCUGUUUCAUAGCAGUAUAUGAUUAGAAUCACAUAGAUGUGGGUGAAGUCCAACUUCUGCCUCUUGUACCCUGUGGGACCUGGAGCAAGUCACUUGAUUUAUUUAAAUCUCAAUUUUUUAUCUGUAAAACUGGCAUACUAAUAGCACCUACCUCAAAAGAUGGAUGUGAGGACAAUGUGAUCAUAUGUUUGGCACAUAGCAAGCACCCAAUAUUAUCAGUAGAAGUAGGUAGAGGGGGCUUCCCAGAUGGCUCGGUGGUAAAGAAUCUACCUGCCAAUGGAGGAGACUCAGGUUCAAUCCCUGGGUCGGGAAGUUCCCCUGGAGGAGGAAAUGGCAACCAUGCCAGUAUUCUUGCCUGGAAAAUUCCAUGGCCAGAGUAGUCUGUCGGUCUACAGCCCAGGGGCUUGGACACGACUUAGCAGCUGAGCAUACUCGUAGUAGGUAGAGAGAAGACAAGGAACUGCAUGUGAUAUGGAGAUAUUAAAAAGAAACACAAGCUAUCAAUAAUUACAGAAAUAAAGGUAAUGAGUACAUGUGCUACAGUUAUAAUUUGAAUUCAAGAGAAUUUAUCCAGACCAAUUAGGGUUUCCUGUGAGGGGAAAAAAGAGAAUCAGGGUGGGGCUGGGGUAGGGGUGUGGCUCAUAUUUCUGCAGCCUGGAUCUACCAGAGUCUGGACUUCAACUAAACUCAGACAUUUCAAAAGAGUCGGGUAGCAUUUCUGUUCUCAAAUCCUGUCCCAAAGCUUCCUGAUGGACCUGUGUGGGUUGAAGAGAGUCAGCUGAACCAGUCAGCGUUUGGAGAGCUUACAGGACAGAGAGCACUGGGGCUUGAGGCUCUAAUGGGCAGCCAUGUCCCUCUGGCUCACCCCCAGCUGAGCAUUGCUGCAAAGAGAAAUAGUCACUGGACAUGAGCCAGGGGCACCAGUCAGCUUAACCAGAGGAAUCAAUGGACACUGUGUUUUGCCUCUGCAAAUGAGGAAAAUGACAUGGUGAGAAGGCAUAUGCCUUGUCCAGAAUCACAAAUCCCAUGGGGCAGAGAAAGCAGAGAGAAACAUUGCCUCAGAAGGAGCCAUUUCCCAUCGUGAGGAUGCCUGGAGCCCAGCCUUGAUUAACAAAGGCAUGGGAUGCUGCUGCUCAGCUCCUGAGCAGCGGAGGCCCAGUGUAUUUUUUUUAUGAGGCAUGGACAAUGAGUAACCGUUCAAAAGGCCAAAGCCGCCUUUUAGAAAAAGGCAAAUAUUUUAGGAAUCCCUUGUUACUAGGCAAAUGCCUGAUUGCUUUUUAGGGGAGUGAGGCUUAGCCUGAUGCCCUGUAUGUAGGACUUCAAGCUUGGAUUCUGGAUUUUGCUUCACUGGGACGUGUGUGUGCAUGCAUGCUAAGUCGCUUCAGUUAUGUCAUGCUCUGUGUGACCCCAUGGACUGUAGCCCACCAGCCUCCUCUUUCCAUGAGGAUUCUCUAGGCAAGAAUACUGGAGUGUGUUGCAGUGCCCUCCUCCAGAGGUUCUUCUCAACCCAGGGGUCCAACCUGCAUCUCUUGUGUCUUAUGCAUUGGCAGGUGGGUUCUGUUACACCUAGGCGCCACCAGUGGUUCUCAAUUCUGGCUGUAUAUUGGAAUUAACUCUGGAGCUCUAAAACAGAUAGAUGCCCAGGUACCACUUCCAGAAGGAUGCAUUAAAUUGGCCUUUAGUAGGGCUGAGGGAGAAGGCAAUGGCACCCCACUCCAGUACUCUUGCCUGGGAAAUCCCAUGGACAGAGGAGCCUGGUGGGCUGCAGUCCAUGGGGUCACUAAGAGUUGGACAUAACUGAAUGACUUCACUUUCGCUUUUCACUUUCAUGCACUGGAGAAGGAAAUGGUAACCCACUCCAGUGUUCUUGCCUGGAGAAUCCCAGGGACGGGGGAGCCUGGUGGGCUGCCGUCUAUGGGGUCACACAGAGUUGGAUACGAGCAGCAGCAGCAGCAGCAGGGCUGAGAUGUCAGGACUGUUAAAAAACUCCUUGAUAUUUCUAGUAUGUAGUUUAGUAUUGAGAUGAGCCCCUUUUUGUGUUUCUGUAUUAUCUCUUUUCCCAGCUGGUGAGAACUAGGUUGUAAGACCGAACGAUCCUAUCAAAAUAUUUCUCAAACUUUAAGGAAUUAUCUGGGAAUCUUUUUCUGUUUGGGCCACUGGCACGUGGGAUCUUUGUUCCCCCAGUCAGGGAUCAAGCCUGCACCCCCUGCAGCCAGAGUGCUGAGUCUUUACCAUGGACCACUGGGGAAGUCCUGGGGAUCUUAUGAAAAUGCAGAUUCUGGUUCAGGAGUUCUAAGAUGGGGCCUGGGAUUCUGCAUUUCUAACAGUCUCCCAGAUGAUGCUGGUCUCAAGUUCACCUUUGAGUACCAAGAGGCCAGAAGUGGUCCUCAUAUUUCACUGAGCAUGAAAAUGACCUGAUCAGCUUGUUGAAAAAGCAGAUUCCAAGGAUGACUGAAGAGUGUCGGGGAUGGAGUCCAGGAGUCUGCAUCUUUAACACAUUUUCAGGUAGCAACAUGCCAGAAAACAUUCUGCCUUUGAAGAACAAAGUACAAAGAUGUUCCGACAACUGAGGGUUAUAGUUCUGCACCAUUGCUUAUCAUGCACUGCAUUUGGAAAUAGGGCCUGGAGUAGACAGUCACCUUCCCCAGCCUGGAUUUCUUUAGCACCGUCCCACUGAGCGUC